rnacentral:ncRNA from 2 species
CUCCGCCGUCCAUCUGGCACACUGUGCACCAAGACGACAGUCCCAGGAAGCCCGUGCGAAUCGGGCGCUGUCCCGCAACUGUGAGCGACCUUCGGGCCGCGAGCCAGGAACUGCCUGCCGUCCGCACCCCAUC